UAAAGUUCAUUCGGGUUUUUAUGUAGGAUCUUAGGGAAAAAACCCAGAGGAACUUUUUA
ensembl:miRNA